rnacentral:rRNA from 1 species
AUUGAACGCUGGCGGCAGGCCUAACACAUGCAAGUCGAACGAGUGGCGGACGGGUGAGUAAUGUAUGGGAAACUGCCCGAUGGAGGGGGAUAACUACUGGAAACGGUAGCUAAUACCGCAUACCAUCAAAUGAGCCCAUAUGGGAUUAGCUUGUUGGUGGGGUAACGGCUCACCAAGGCGACGAUCCCUAGCUGGUCUGAGAGGAUGACCAGCCACACUGGAACUGAGACACGGUCCAGACUCCUACGGGAGGCAGCAGUGGGGAAUAUUGCACAAUGGGCGCAAGCCUGAUGCAGCCAUGCCGCGUGUGUGAAGAAGGCCUUCGGGUUGUAAAGUACUUUCGGUGGGGAAGCGUUACCCACAGAAUAAGCACCGGCUAACUCCGUGCCAGCAGACGCGGUAAUUC